AUAGCGUAUAUUUAAGUUGUUGCAGUUAAAAAGCUCGUAGUUGGAUCUUGGGUCGUAAGGGUCGGUCCGCCUACUCGGUGUGCACCUGCCCUUCCGUCCCUUUUGUCGGCGGCGUGCUCCUGGCCUUAAUUGGCUGGGUCGCGGUUCCGGCGCCGUUACUUUGAAAAAAUUAGAGUGCUCAAAGCAAGCUUAUGCUCUGAAUACAUUAGCAUGGAAUAACGUGAUAGGAGUCUGGUCCUAUUGUGUUGGCCUUCGGGACCGGAGUAAUGAUUAAUAGGGACUGUCGGGGGCAUUCGUAUUUCAUUGUCAGAGGUGAAAUUCUUGGAUUUAUGAAAGACGGACCACUG
rnacentral:rRNA from 1 species